rnacentral:tmRNA from 1 species
GGGGAUGAUCGGCUUUGAUAAGGAGAGUUCGUGCUGCUUGCGAGCCGAUGGCAACGACGUAACCGUUGCAAAAUUCAUAACUGCCAACCAUAAGGUUACGGCUCCGGCUUUCGCUUUUGCGUAGCUAGAGGAUCGGCUAACUCGGGCUCCUUGAGUUAAUCCCGGUCUUAUACAAGGGGGCUAAGCUCAUACUGUUCGUUUCGUGACGUGUGGGACAAAAACCUAGCGAAACAUUCGUCUGAUCUAAUCAGUACUACGCUCGUAGACGGCGCAUCGGUCUCUCUUUAGACGGCGGUUCGAUUCCGCCCAUCUCCACCA